AACAUAAUUGUUGGAUCAUGUGGUAAGAGUAUAUUUAAUUUUAUAAAGAAUUGCCAAACUGUCUUCCAAAGUGGCUGUACCACUUUGCAUUCCCAUCAGCAAU
rnacentral:pre_miRNA from 1 species